CCUACGGGCGGGCAGCAGUGGGGAAUAUUGGACAAUGGGCGAAAGCCUGAUCCAGCCAUGCCGCGUGUGUGAAGAAGGCCUUCGGGUUGUAAAGCACUUUCAGUGGGGAAGAAAGCCUUGGGGCUAAUACCCUCGAGGAAGGACAUCACCCACAGAAGAAGCACCGGCUAACUCCGUGCCAGCAGCCGCGGUAAUACGGAGGGUGCGAGCGUUAAUCGGAAUUACUGGGCGUAAAGCGCGCGUAGGCGGUCUGAUAAGCCGGUUGUGAAAGCCCCGGGCUCAACCUGGGAACGGCAUCCGGAACUGUCAGGCUAGAGUGCAGGAGAGGAAGGUAGAAUUCCCGGUGUAGCGGUGAAAUGCGUAGAGAUCGGGAGGAAUACCAGUGGCGAAGGCGGCCUUCUGGACUGACACUGACGCUGAGGUGCGAAAGCGUGGGUAGCAAACAGGAUUAGAUACCCUUGUAGUC
rnacentral:rRNA from 1 species